GGAAAAGGAAAAUAUGUGAGUUCCGGUGAGAGGAAAAGAAAAAUAUGUGAGCUGCAGGGGCACAGUUGUCGAUGUUACGCCGCGUGGAAUUACGACGUGAUGUAGAAAACCAUCAACAAUGUUCCAGUUGAUGAAUGGACAUGGAUGGAUGGUGAUGCUCAGGAUGAUAAACAAUCUCCUGAGAGUGAAUAUGUCCCCCCCCCCCCCCCCCCAGGCGUAUAAAUGUAGGCUACUUUGCUAGUGUCGUGGUAUCAUCCUAUUAGGGUAUCCGACACAAAGUGGUGGCCCUUUAUCAAUCAAUAAGGGGGGUUUUCAGAAGAGGGUGAAUGGAUGAGGACAGUUAUGAACAUUUAUCUGCUACAGUUAGAUCAUUUCUGCAUGAAUGCAUUGGAAUGCUUUAUCUUUUAUUUUGCCUAAUGUAAUUUUAGAAGUUCUAAUGAUUUGUGCAACAGUUGUAAACUUUUCAAGUCAAUCUAGUUCAUCAGUAAACUAACAAACUGUAUUUCUAUAUCGUAUUAUAUUUUCAUUAUCAAAA